ACGUGAUCUGAGUUCAGACCGGAGUAAUCCAGGUCAGUUUCUAUCUAUAAGGAGCUUUUUUUAGUACGAAAGGACCAAAAAAGCAUGGCCCCUGUUUUCAGCAAACCAUUUCUAUUAAUUUAUGUCUAAAACUUAACUCUUACAUAGUCCUUCCCUCUGUUCAAGAAAAGAACA
rnacentral:rRNA from 1 species